GUAUUCCUGGUGUUUUCUACUCCACCAUCUUCCCAAAUUUCCACCUGUGAAGCCACUUCAUUUAUAUGAACACAUUUCAUAUGUUUUAUAUGUAAACAAAAAUCUCUGAUGACAUUUCAGAUCCUGAUAAACAGAGGUUGCUGAUUGAGGUAUUAAUCCAUGGCAAGCAGAACAGAUCAAAUAUUUGUCACACGAAACUAGAUUAAAAGAUCACAGAUCCUGAAAUGGGGAUACUUCCAGUUUUAUUGUAUCACAGCUUCUCUUCAUAUUGCAAGUCAAAACUUACAUAGUGAUUUAAAUGCAAACAUAUUCCCCGUCAACCAGGACGGAAGAUGUCAAAGAGUCUUCUGAUAUUCAUACAAAGAGCUGAGCAGGUGGGAACAUUCAGAGAUGGGGGAUCUGAAGAUAUCAUAUUGCACAACUUCAUAGGAUACCAUUCACAGAUUUGAGGUGAAGACUAUUAAUGGUGAUUUGGAAAUGUUGCAUUUGAGCUGCAUGGAAACAUUCAAAAAAGGGUUUUAAGCAAGCAAGUGGAUACAUGGGUUGAAAAUUCAGAGAGAAUACUUGGAGUGGAGAAAUACCUUUGUAAAUUACAGGCUGCAGAGGGUAAAUGAGGCCAUGUGACAAAAACAGCAACAACAUAAAACAAAAAUAGUACCUACAAAAUUUAAAUAUUUUAAGUCCUAAUGGUAGAGUUGAGCAAAAAAUGAAAAUCGAAUAGAGAAUAGAGAAAUAGAAUGAAAACCAAGAUGUAUACAAUCACAGAGUCACAGUUGACUAUUUCAAGGAAGUAUUAUUAUAUAAUAAGAUUGAAUGCCAAUGAUAGAUAAAAAAUGCUGAUACCUAAAAUAUUAUCCACUUGAUUUCAUAGCAUAAAGGUCAUUAACUCAUGACAAUGUGACCAAAUUUAAAAGCAAACAAUCUCAGUAUAUGGAAUGAACAUUACAAACUAUAAUGUUUCUCAUUUUAUUUAGUGCUGCUUUCAAAAUACUGUAAAAUAACUUCAUUUAAUAUAAUUCUAACACCACAAGGAUUAAUUUUACUUAAUUUUGAUUCCUUUUUGUCUUUCUUUAUAAGAUCUUCUAAAAAUAUUUGUUUACGUAGUACUUUUUUAGUGGUGAAGCAUGGUAACAGUAAUCUCCUUAAUACUUGCAUGAAUGUAUGCUUUACUUUUGGAAAACAUACAUUUCAUGCCUAUGGAAAUUUUCUAAAAAUUGUACAAUUAAGUUUCUCUGUUCAUUUGACUUCUUUUUUCUUUUUUUUUCAAAUUCUCCUCAGGGAUCUCAGUGCAAUUAAGGGAAAAUGCUCAGGAGGGGGAGUACAAUGAAGUAAAACAGUUAAGUCAAUGACUAUUAACCAGGCCAACCCUGGGUAGAUAUCACAAUCACCUGGAGAACUUUAAAAAUUCUAAUGACCAUUCCUCACCUACGAAGAUAUGAUGUAAUUAAUAUGCAGCAAUAGCCAAGCACUGAGACUUGUUUAAAGUCUUCUUCUCCUUUCCCACCCUAGAUGAUUCUAAUUGUCUGAUAGAAUUAAGAAGCACUGAUAGUAUUGGCUUCCUCCCACCCCUCCCCCUACUAUCCUAUUAAAUGAGCAUAUAUUACUAAGA